GUUCAAUUGGUUUGACCUUGGGUUGUUGAAUUAGUUUGACCCAUGGUUGUUGAAUUAGUUUGACCCCGGUUGUUGAAUUAGUUUGACCCAUGGUUGUUGUUGAAUUAGUUUGACCCUGGGUUGUUUAAUUGGUUUGACCCUUGGUUGUUGAAUUGGUUUUACCCCUGGAUUGUGCGUCACGUGGCUGACGGGACCAGACGACCCAGGCAAACAACACCACAGCAAUUAAGACCUACCGUAAUCAUGGAGGAGCCCCGUUUCAACCCGUCGGUCAACACACAGAGGCACCAAUAUGUGAUCGACUUUGUUAAGACACACAAACCUAAAAAGGUUGUGGAUUUGGGAUGCAAUGACUGUUCACUACUGAGGAAACUCAAGUUUCACCGUGAAAUCGAACUACUUUGUGGGGUGGACCUUAAGAGCGACUCGAUGAAGAUGAAAAUGCAUGAAUUGGCACCUCUCCCAACUGACUACCUGCAGCCGGGAGCAUCUCCACUGAGCAUUGAACUGUAUCACGGCUCCGUCACACAGAAGGAUGCCAGGCUCCGAGGAUUUGAUCUGGUGACCAGCAUAGAACUCAUCGAGCAUCUCCAUCUGGACGCUGUGGAGCGCUUCACCGAGGUGCUGUUUGGCUACAUGACCCCAGGGACGGCCAUUGUCAGUACCCCGAACGUCGAAUUCAACCCGCUCUUUCCCAGAAUGCCCGGCUUCAGGAACUCCGACCAUAAGUUUGAGUGGACCCGAGCUGAGUUCCAGUCCUGGGCCCUGAAGGCAUGUGGGCGGUACGGCUACGAGGCCGAGUUCACGGGCGUGGGGCAGGCAGUACCUCACCUGCACCUCCGGGUGGGCUUCUGUACGCAGAUCGCCGUGUUCCGGAGGCUGGCCCGCGGCGGCGGGGCUCCGGCGUCCAGCGGUGACACCGGGGAGAUCUUUUCAUACAAGCUUCUCUACAGCGUGUCCUACCCCAGUCUGUGUGAUAACAACGUCCUGCGAGGGUGUCUGGUGAGUGAGGUCCUCCACUGGGCUUACCAGCUCUCCCGAAGGAGGAGGACGGAGGAAAGGGAGGACGGGGAGGAAGGCUGGAGUCACACGGAGCCGGACAGGGCGGAGACGGAGCCGACAGGUGACCCGAGGGAAACCUGCAAACCUCAACAUGAGUUUGAGGAAAGCGUCUUUGACGGAGAGGGAACCCACGGGUGGGAGGAUGUCAAGAUGACCAGCAGAGGGCAGCUGGAGUCCUACAGACAGGGCCGAUGUGUGUGUGUUCCUCUGCGCAGAGUGUGGUCCUGCUGCCCCCGGAUCAGAGACCUGAGCGGAUCCCUGGCUCGUCUGAGGCUCUUCAUAGCCGACGACCCACUGGUCAGACUGAGCCAGGACGGGUUUGCUGUGGUUCUGGAUGAAGGGGAAGAGGUCAGUGAGGAGGAGCCAGAGAACACCGGAAGAAUGGACCCAGCCUGCCACCACGCAGUGGAGGAAGAGAUGUGGGAGAGCCUCUGAUCACCCCACAGGUAUACCAGGCCAUGUCUAAGCUCAUCAGUAUUCUAGCCUGGAAAGUAGUUCUUUAGUGAGACGCCCCCUUUUGAGUGACCACAUACCCUCCUGCAAUGCUUGGUGGAGCAUUGCUUCACACACCCAAUAUAAAAGUUACAGUCAGGAAAACCAUUCCCCAAUAAAGACCUGUUCUUGAGA